rnacentral:rRNA from 1 species
AGAGUUUGAUCCUGGCUCAGGAUGAACGCUAGCGGCAGGCUUAACACAUGCAAGUCGAGGGGCAGCGGGGGUAGCAAUACCUGCCGGCGACCGGCGGAAGGGUGCGUAACGCGUGAGCAACAUACCCAUAACAGGGAGAUAACCCGGAGAAAUUCGGACUAAUAUCCCAUAGUAAUUAGUAAUCGCAUGGGUACUAAUUUAAAGAUACGUUGGUUAUGGAUCGGCUCGCGUGACAUUAGUUAGUUGGAGAGGUAACGGCUCACCAAGGCGACGAUGUCUAGGGGUUCUGAGAGGAAGAUCCCCCACACUGGGACUGAGACACGGCCCAGACUCCUACGGGAGGCAGCAGUGAGGAAUAUUGGACAAUGGUCGGAAGACUGAUCCAGCCAUGCCGCGUGCAGGAAGAAGGUUCUAUGGAUUGUAAACUGCUUUUGUAGGAGAGCAAUAAGGACUACGUGUAGUUCGAUGAGAGUAUUCUACGAAUAAGCAUCGGCUAACUCCGUGCCAGCAGCCGCGGUAAUACGGAGGAUGCGAGCGUUAUCCGGAUUUAUUGGGUUUAAAGGGUGCGUAGGCGGCCUGGUAAGUCAGUGGUGAAAUCUUGCAGCUUAACUGUAACAUUGCCAUUGAUACUGUCAGGCUGGAAAGUAGUUGAAGUGGGUGGAAUGUGUGGUGUAGCGGUGAAAUGCUUAGAUAUCACACAGAAUAUCGAUUGCGAAGGCAGCCCGCUAAGCUAUAUUUGACGCUGAGGCACGAAAGUGUGGGGAUCAAACAGGAUUAGAUACCCUGGUAGUCCACACUGUAAACGAUGAUAACUAGCUGUUGGCGAUAUACCGUCAGUGGCCAAGCGAAAGCGAUAAGUUAUCCACCUGGGGAGUACGACCGCAAGGUUGAAACUCGAAGGAAUUGACGG